rnacentral:rRNA from 1 species
CGGAUGAACGCUAGCGGCAGGCCUAAUACAUGCAAGUCGAACGGAGUAGCAAUACUUAGUGGCAAACGGGUGCGUAACGCGUAAACAACCUGCCCUCGUGUGGGGGAUAGCCGGGCUAACGCCCGGGUAAUACCGCAUACGUUCCUCUGGGGGAGUCCCUGGGGGAGGAAAGCUCCGGCGCACGGGGGAGGGGUUCGCGGCCUAUCAGCUAGUUGGGGGGGUAAUGGCCCACCAAGGCGACGACGGGUAGCU